rnacentral:misc_RNA from 1 species
CUACACGGCAGAGCUUGAUACUGGAA